AUGAAGAAAAAAGAAAGUUUGAGAACAUGGAAAUUGAACUUGAUUGAACAACAAUGGGGGGUCAGAAAAAAAAUCAAGAUUGAAGAAAUGGGUUCAGAUGGAAUUAAGGAAAACAUCUCUUUGGCAAGUGUGGGACUCAAACAAUUUGAGGAGAUGCAGCAGAAAAAUGAGGAGAUAUUGAAGAUGCAGAAAGAUUACUUAAUGGAGGUGGGCUUGAUAAAUAAAGUUGAGGUUGAGCUAGAUAAAGCUCUAAAAAAAUUCCAAGAAGUUGAGGAAAUCAGAUGCAGGAAUGAUGCUUGGAGAGCUGUGGAAGAAGAAAAGACUACUAAUUGGGAAAUAGAGAAGAAGAGUUUGCUGAAAAUGAUCCAAGGUCAACAAGAGCUGAUAAACAAGUGCAUGGAAAAAAUUGAUGCUUGGGAAGAGAAAGAGGUCUAUGGGGAAGACUUGUGUGAAAUGAGCUUGAGGCUAAAAUGA
rnacentral:rRNA from 1 species